UUUAUCUCCUUCUCUCUCUCUCUCUCUCUCUCUCUAUAUAUAUAUAUAUAUAGAGAGAGAGAGAGAGAGAGAGAGAGAUAAA
rnacentral:miRNA from 1 species